UACGAAGGGGGCUAGCGUUGUUCGGAAUCACUGGGCGUAAAGGGCGCGUAGGCGGCUUUGUAAGUCGGGGGUGAAAGCCUGUGGCUCAACCACAGAAUUGCCUUCGAUACUGCAUGGCUUGAGACCGGAAGAGGUAAGUGGAACUGCGAGUGUAGAGGUGAAAUUCGUAGAUAUCAAGCAGAACACCUGCGGCGAAGGCGGCCUUCUGGACGAUGGACUGACGCUGGAGAACGCGGAAAGCGUGGGGAGCAAACAGG
rnacentral:rRNA from 1 species